AACCGCGGUUAUACGAAAGGCCCAAGCAGACAAUACUCGGCGUAAAGAGUGGUUACUUGAAUUUUACUAAAGCCAAACACCCUCAAGACUGUUAUACGUGUUCGAGAACAUAGAAGCCCAACCACGAAAGUAGCUUUAUACAUGAAUACCACUAAAGCUAAGACA
rnacentral:rRNA from 1 species